ACGGGUGAGUAACGCGUUGGUGACCUGCCCCAAAGUGUGGGAUACCAGUUCGAAAGGACUGCUAAUACCGCAUGUGGUCUUCGGAUCCAGAAACCGAUGACUAAAGGAGUAAUCCGCUUUGGGAGGGACCUGCGUCCCAUCAGCUAGUUGGUAGGGUAACGGCCUACCAAGGCUACGACGGGUAGGGGACCUGAGAGGGUGACCCCCCACAAUGGAACUGAAACACGGUCCAUACACCUACGGGUGGCAGCAGUAGGGAAUAUUGCACAAUGGGCGAAAGCCUGAUGCAGCAACGCCGCGUGUGCGAAGAAGGCCUUCGGGUCGUAAAGCACUUUUCUGAGAGAUGAGAAAGGACAGUAUCUCAGGAAUAAGUCUCGGCUAACUACGUGCCAGCAGCCGCGGUAAAACGUAGGAGGCAAGCGUUAUCCGGAUUCACUGGGCGUAAAGCGCGUGCAGGCGGUUCGGUAAGUUGGGCGUGAAAUCUCCUGGCUCAACUAGGAGAGGUCGUUCAAUACUACCGGACUUGAGAGCGGUAGAGGAAGAUGGAAUUCCCGGUGUAGUGGUGAAAUGCGUAGA
rnacentral:rRNA from 1 species